rnacentral:rRNA from 1 species
AUACUCAAGAGCAUAUGGUGGAUGCCUAGACACUAAAAGACGAUGAAGGACGUAGCAGUCUGCGAUAAGCUUCGGGGAGGCGACAAGCAACCUUUGAUCCGAAGAUUUCCGAAUGGGGAAACCCAACUAAGCAAACCUUAGUUAUCUCUGCCUGAAUAAAAUAGGGCAGUUGAGGAAGACCUGGGGAAGUGAAACAUCUCAGUACCCAGAGGAAAAGAAAAUAAUAAUGAUUCCCUUAGUAGUGGCGAGCGAAUGGGGAACAGCCCAAACCUAUAUAACCUUAUCACUUUGUGAUUGUUUUGCCUUCGGGUGAGACGUGAACUGGUGGUGUAAGGCUGUCAGGCUACAUGUUAUUUAGGGGUAGCGAGAUAAUUCCUUCUGAAAACUGACAUUUUCAGACAGUUACUGGUAAUUUUUAGUCAAAAGAGCUGGAAAGCUCUGCCAAAGAAGGUGAUAGCCCUGUAGGCGAAAAAAAUUAUUAGACUGUAGAAUUAUUCUCAAGUAGUGCAGGACACGAGAAAUCCUGUGUGAAUCUGCCGGGACUAUCCGGUAAGGCUAAAUACUUUUAGUGAUCGAUAGUGAACUAGUACCGUGAGGGAAAGGUGAAAAGCACCCCGGUUAGGGGGAUGAAAUAGUAUCUGAAACCAUAUGUUUACAAGGAGUCAGAGCUCAAGAUUCGUUCUGAGCGAUGGCGUUCCUAUUGCAGAAUGAGCCAACGAGUUUGUGUAUGUUGCAAGUUUAAGUCCGCGUAGGACGAAGGCGUAGUGAAAGCGAGGGUUAAUAGCCCGAUUUAGCAGCAUGUACAAGACCCGAAACCGAGUGAUCUAGCCAUGGCCAGGGUGAAGCUCCGCGAAGGCGGAGUGGAAGCCCGAACCCACUCGCCGUGUAACACGAGGGGAUGAGCUGUGGUUAGCGGAGAAAUUCUAAUCGAACUCGGUAAUAGCUGGUUUUCUUCGAAACAGUUUUAGGACUGGCCUUUGGUGUUCCUUCUGGGGGUAGAGCACUGGUUGAGGGCGGAUGGGUAACCUACCGUCUUCAGUCAAACUCCGAAUACCAGAAGUUAAGAACCAAGGAGUUAGACUAUGGGGGCUAAGCUCCAUUAGUCGAAAGGGGAACAGCCCAGACCGCAAUCUAAGGUCCCUAAAUCUAGAUUAAGUGUUAAAAGUGGUGAGAUGACUUAUACAACUAGGAGGUUGGCUUAGAAGCAGCCAUCCUUUAAAGAAAGCGUAAUAGCUCACUGGUCAAGUUGUCUUGCGCUGAAAAUGUAACGGGGCUAAAUCUAGUACCGAAGAUGCGGAUGCCAAUGCUUUUUGCAUUGGCGUGGUAGAAGAACAUUCUAUAGGCGUUGAAGUCGUACUCGUGAGAGGCGGUGGAGCGUAUAGAAGAGAGAAUGUUGGCAUGAGUAGCAAAAAGUAGGGUGAGAAACCCUGCCACCGUAAACCUAAGGUUUCCUGGGCAAUGAUUGUCAACCCAGGGUUAGUCGGUCCUAAGGCGAGGCCGAAGGGCGUAGUCGAUGGAUGAGCAGGCUAAUAUUCCUGCACUACUGUUAGUUUCCGAUGGGAGGACGUGGUCCUUGAAUCGAGGCGAGCUUUUGGUUAUGCUCGUUGAUUAUUAUUAGGGUGGUUCUAGGUAAAUCCGGAACCGUAAAGCCUGAACGUCGUUAAGAGGUAUAUCUUUCGGGAUAUGCCGAUCUCGGUAAUUUGAUCACCUAGAAAAGUCUCUAGGGUUAAGCUAGUAGUAUCCGUACCGUAAACCAACACAGGUAGGUGAGGCGAGUAGCCUCAGGUGGACGAGAUAACCAUUGUUUAGGAACUCGGCAAAACAGCUGGCCGUAACUUCGGGAGAAGGCCUCCCCCCAUUCGUGGGGGGCGCAGCAAACGACCACACGCGACUGUUUACCAAAAACACAGGUCUCUGCUAAGCCGUAAGGCGAUGUAUAGGGGCUGACGCCUGGCCAGUGUCCGAACGUUAAGGUGAAGGGUGCAAGCUCUGAUCUGAAGCGCGGAUGAACGCCGGCCGUAACUAUAACGGUCCUAAGGUAGCGAAAUUCCUUGACGGGUGAGUUCCGUCCUGCACGAAUGGCAUAACGACUUGGAGACUGUCUCAAGGAAGGACUCGGCGAAAUUGCAAGACGAGUAAAGAUGCUCGUUACCCGUAGCUGGACGAAAAGACCCCGUGAAGCUUUACUAUAACUUGAUAUUGGGUUAGGGAUAUACAUGUUCAGAAUAGGUGGGAGAUCUUCGGAUCACCAGUGAGAUACCACCCUUGUAUAUCUUUAAUUCUAAUCCUAUCCCGUCAUCCGGGAGGGAGACAGUAUCUGGUGGGUAGUUUAACUGGGGCGGUUGCCUCCCAAAAAGUAACGGAGGCGUUUACAAAGGUUGGCUUACUCCGGAUGGAAACCGGGGUGAAAGUGCAAGCGCAUAAGCCAGCUUUACUGCGAUUCCUACAAGAAGAGCAGUUGCGAAAGCAGAAGCUAGUGAUCCGACCGUACGAAAUAGGACGGCGGAAGCUCAACGGAUAAAAGUUACUCCGGGGAUAACAGGCU